rnacentral:rRNA from 1 species
UACGAAGGGGGCUAGCGUUGCUCGGAAUCACUGGGCGUAAAGGGUGCGUAGGCGGGUCUUUAAGUCAGGGGUGAAAUCCUGGAGCUCAACUCCAGAACUGCCUUUGAUACUGAAGAUCUUGAGUUCGGGAGAGGUGAGUGGAACUGCGAGUGUAGAGGUGAAAUUCGUAGAUAUUCGCAAGAACACCAGUGGCGAAGGCGCUCACUGGCCCGAUACUGACGCUGAGGCACGAA